GAUAUAUCUUGUGUGCCAUCAACAAUAAUUGCAAAGGCAUUAUUCCCAAUCUGUUUCCGAAUAAGGCGUAAUAGGGUGUGAGACAAUAACUUCAAAAUCUAAUUUUGAAUGUCGGGACUCAUGUAUUCUGCUUUGUGUGAUAUCCAAUUUUUUAGAUAAGACACAUCAUCUGCUUGUGCAAGCAGAAACUGUUUAAAAUUGCCAUCAUUGUCUUCAUGGUCAUGAAGAG